rnacentral:lncRNA from 1 species
UUUAUUUGCUUCUGCAUAGAUGCACCGGAAUAUCUUUAGGAGAAUCUAUGCACUUGUUUUAACUGAGAAGAAUUUUUUUUUUUUUUUUUUUAACCCAAGCUGACUACUCAGGUCCGCCAUAGACUCAAAAUAGUGUCCAGUUGUGAAAUGAGCAGUAGAAAUGAACCAAACCUCUGGUGUCUUUUUCUGAGGAUGUAAAGCAGAGAGAGGCCUCUACUUUAUUUCCUCUCUGUUUAGAGCAUUCAGUCAAUAGUACCAGCUUCUUUGGCUCCAAGUGUGGGAUUCAGGAGGUGUCCUGAAUCAUCUGAAGUGGCAGCCCAGGGCUGUUCUGAACCAAGCUGAGAAAGUGGCACAAUGCUGUGUUGCAGGAAGUGAAAGAUGCCCCUUAGCCUCUGUGUCACUUGCUCAUGCUAGUGACACAGUCAGCAACUACAGAUACAGAGAAGACAGCCACACAGGCUUGGAAGCAGGCAUUGGCCUUUGGGACAAGGAACCCCAGUGGCCCUCACUCCCAGAGCAUGGCCUAAAAAGGUAUGUGUGUGUGUGUGUGUGUGUGUGUGUGUGUGUGUGUGUGUACAUGCAUGUGUAUACACGUGCACAUGUGCACAUGCAUGUGUGUACAUGUGUGUGCAUGUGUGAGUGCUGUGGUUGGGCACAUCACCAUGAGUAUGUUGGAGCAAGGAUUUUCUUUUCUCAAGC